AUUUAAGUAGCUUAUAUUUAGAGUAUAACAUUGAAGCUGUUAUUGAGAUUAAUUAAUCCUUAAAUA
rnacentral:tRNA from 1 species